rnacentral:rRNA from 1 species
AGAGUUUGAUCCUGGCUCAGAUUGAACGCUGGCGGCAGGCCUAACACAUGCAAGUCGAGCGGUAGAGAGGUGCUUGCACCUCUUGAGAGCGGCGGACGGGUGAGUAAAGCCUAGGAUCUGCCUGGUAGUGGGGGAUAACGCUCGGAAACGGACGCUAAUACCGCAUACGUCCUACGGGAGAAAGCAGGGGACCUUCGGGCCUUGCGCUAUCAGAUGAGCCUAGGUCGGAUUAGCUAGUUGGUGAGGAAUGGCUCACCAAGGCGACGAUCCGUAACUGGUCUGAGAGGUGAUCAGUCACACUGGAACUGAGACACGGUCCAGACUCCUACGGGAGGCAGCAGUGGGGAUAUUGGACAAUGGGCGAAAGCCUGAUCCAGCCAUGCCGCGUGUGUGAAGAAGGCUUCGGUUGAAAGCACUUUAAGUGGGAGGAGGGCUUACCUAUACGUAGUGUUUGACGUACGACAGAUAGCACGGCUACUCUGUGCAGC